CAAACCAAAACACUUCACGGGCAGGAUUUUUAGAUUUCCAAAUAAUUUGCAGUUACUGCAUCCUAAUUUUCCAACAAAGUUGUAUCUAUGAAAAUAAUUGUUGGCUUACUGGAAACGUCUGAGUCGGAAAACUUUUCGUUAUUAAUUGCUCCAUUAUUGUUCAGAUCUUGCUCAAAUAAUCUAAACUUUCGUUAUAAUUCUGAUUCAACCUUAGAUUUAUCUAUCUCGGAAGAUUCGUUGUUAGUGACAUGUUCGUCAUCACUGUGUGACAAGUGCUUUAAUUUCUUCCGUGCACCACUUAAUUGUUGUUUCCUCGAUUUCCUUUUUAAUUUAAAAGAAUGUUUAAAUUUUUUUUUUCAGUCCCAUUCUUCUA
rnacentral:lncRNA from 1 species